rnacentral:rRNA from 1 species
AAUAUUGGACAAUGGGCGCAAGCCUGAUCCAGCCAUGCCGCGUGUGUGAAGAAGGCCUUCGGGUUGUAAAGCACUUUUGUCCGGAAAGAAAUCCAAUCGAUUAAUACUCGGUUGGGAUGACGGUACCGGAAGAAUAAGCACCUGCUAACUACGUGCCAGCAGCCGCGGUAAUACGUAGGGUGCAAGCGUUAUCCGGAAUUAUUGGGCGUAAAGAGAUGCGUAGGUGGUCUAUCAAGUUUUUGGUGAAAGCCUUCGGCUUAACCGGAGAAUUGCCAAGAAAACUGGUAGACUUAGAGGGAAUCAGGGGGUGCUGGAACUCGUGGUGUAGUAGUAAAAUGCGUUGAUAUCACGAGGAACACCAAAGGCGAAGGCAGGCACCUGGGAUUCACCUGACACUGAGGCUCGAAAGCGUGGGGAGC